AGAGUUUGAUCAUGGCUCAGAUUGAACGCUGGCGGAAUGCUUUACACAUGCAAGUCGAACGGCAGCACGAGAGCUUGCUCUUGGUGGCGAGUGGCGAACGGGUGAGUAAUAUAUCGGAACGUAUCCAAUAAUGGGGGAUAACUAAUCGAAAGGUUGGCUAAUACCGCAUACGCCCUACGGGGGAAAGCAGGGGAUCUUCGGACCUUGCGUUAAUGGAGCGGCUGAUAUCUGAUUAGCUAGUAGGUGAGGUAAAGGCUCACCUAGGCUUCGAUCAGUAGCUGGUCUGAGAGGACGACCAGCCACACUGGAACUGAGACACGGUCCAGACUCCUACGGGAGGCAGCAGUGGGGAAUUUUGGACAAUGGGGGCAACCCUGAUCCAGCCAUUCCGCGUGAGUGAAGAAGGCCUUCGGGUUGUAAAGCUCUUUCGCAAGGGAAGAAACGGUGCAGACGAAUAAUCUGUGCUAAUGACGGUACCUUGAUAAGAAGCACCGGCUAACUACGUGCCAGCAGCCGCGGUAAUACGUAGGGUGCGAGCGUUAAUCGGAAUUACUGGGCGUAAAGCGUGCGCAGGCGGUUUUGUAAGUCAGAUGUGAAAUCCCCGAGCUCAACUUGGGAACUGCGUUUGAAACUACAAGGCUAGAGUAUGGUAGAGGGGGGGUAGAAUUCCACGUGUAGCAGUGAAAUGCGUAGAGAUGUG
rnacentral:rRNA from 1 species